AUUUCCUGGCCUUGCACAGUCGGUGAUGAAAGCGGAGUUGCCUAGUGAUCAGCUGACUUGUGAUCAAUUACAAUAAUGAUGGAAUUUCAAGGUCAAUGUCGUGCUGGUUUUUUUUUUUUUUUUCAAGCUCAUCUUUUCUGCUUAAGGAGAAAAUGCUAGAUAAAUGCAUCUCCAUGUGGGCCUGGACCUCUCCAUGUUGCUCUGUCUUGUCUGUGGAUGUUUGACAGAGACCGGAAGACCUGCAGACCAGCCUGCCAACACCGUCUGUCAAUGGGGGUGCCACUUUCACGGCCCUCCCCUUCCCAUCAGCCUUAGCCCAAAUCACCCUCCAAAAUCGCCAACCAUAGGAAACAUCUUUAACGUAAACUAAUCCCUUCACACUGAAAAUGUUUACAAUUUAGCUGGGUGCGGUGGCUCACACCUCUAAUCCCAGCACUUUGGGAGGCUGAGGCAGGCGGACAGCUUGAGGUCAGGAGUUCAAAACCAGUCUGAGCAACAUGAUGAAACCCUGUCUCCACAAAAAAUUUAAAAAAUUAGCUGAACAUGGUGGCACAUGCCUCUGGUCCCAGCUACUUGGGAGGCUGAGGUGGGUGGAUUGCUUGAAGCUGGGAAGUUGAAACUGCAGUGAACCAAGAUUGCACCACUGCACUCCAGCCUGGGCAGCAGAGAAGGACCCUGUCUCAAAACAAGCAAACAAAAACCAAAAAUGAAAUAAAAUGCUUGCUGUCGGCCCCCACUUCUUUGCAGAGGUCCAGAUGAGGAGCCUCUAAUCAAGGUUGUGACUGGGCCACACAGCCACGCCCUUCCCUCGGGGUGAGCCCUUCCCUAGGGGUGAGCCCUUCCCUCGGGGUGAACCUUUCCCUUGGGGUGCACCCUUACCUCGGGGUGAGCACUUCCCUCUGGGUGCAGCCUUUGCUCGGGGUGAGCCCUUCCCUCGGGUUGAGCCUUUCCCUCAGGGUGCGCCCUUCCCACAGGGUGCGCCCUUCCCUAGGGGUGAGCCCUUCCCUCAGGGUGAACCUUUCCCUUGGGGUGCGCCCUUCCCUCAGGGUGAGCACUUCCCUCUGGGUGCAGCCUUCGCUCAGGGUGAGCCCUUCCCUUGGGGUGAACCCUUCCCUCGGGGUGCGGCCUUCACUCAAGGGUGAGCCCUUCCCUCGGGGUGAACCCUUCCCUCGGGGUGCAGCCUUCACUCAAGGGUGAGCCCUCCCCUCGGGGUGAGCCCUUCCCUCGGGGUGAGCCCUUCCCUCUGGGUGAGCCCUUCCCUCUGGGUGCAGCCUUCGCUGGAGGGUGCACCCUCCCCUCGGGGUGCGCCCUGGCACGUGUUGCCUCUCCACUCACUGCUCUUUCUUGGCCGCCUCCUUCCUGGCGAGUCCUUUCCCGCUGUUGCUCACUGUUUGCGGAUUUCUGAUCACUUGUCUUCCCUCUUGAGCUUGGUGAACAGACCAGGAGGAGGGUACAGGAUGACCCCCAUGACCCCCUGAACAUUUCUAAGACCAAAACCAAAAAGCCCGAGGGGAGAGGACCGGACCCCACUCAGGGCUCGGAAAGCUGACCUGAUGCCUGGCGCCCCGCAGUGGCGUGGGGUGGUCUUGCGUGGCUGUGGACCCCUCAACCAGGCAGGCGAGAGCAGGGAGGGAAGUGGGUACAAGUGAGCAAGUGUGUGAGUGUGUGGGAGUAUGACUGUUAGUGUGUGUGUGUCUGAGUGUAUGUGUGACUGUGUAUGUGUGUCUGAGUGUUAGUGUGUGUGUGAGUGCGUGGGAGUUUGUGUGUCUGAGUGUAAGUAUGUGUGUCUAAGUAUGAGUAUAUGUGACUGUGUAUGUGUGUCUGAGUGUUAGUGUGAGUGUGUCUGCGUGUUAGCAUGUGUCUGAGUGUAUGUGUCUGAGUAUGUGUGACUGUGUAUGUGUCUGAGAGUUAGUGUGUGUGUGUCUGAGGGUUAGUGUGUGUGUCUCAGUGUUAGUGUGUGGGAGUGUGUGUGAGUGUGAGUGGGUGUGUGAGUGUUAGUAUGUGUCUGAGUGUUAGUGUGGGAGUAUGUCUGAGUGUGUGUGUCUGUUAGUGUGUGAGCGUGUGAGUGUGAGUGUGUGCACGCUGGGAAGAGACAUGGGCUAAGAAUAAAAUACUUUCCCAGAGUGUAGCAAAUAAUAGCAAAGUGCACCCAUCAGUUCUCCUGCCUUAAGCAACUAUGGGCUUUCACUCUUCAACUUUCUUCUCCCUCUCUCUCUCACACACACACACACACACACACACACACCAUGAGAACUCUUCUGAGCUCUCCUGGCAAGGUUGGGCUCCCUGCUUCCCCCAUAUCCCCUCACUUACACCAAGUUCCGUCCCCCUGACUGGAAUGUUUGGGGUGAGAGCCCCUCCUUUGUCCUAUUUGCACCAGCGUCAGCUGAGUGUGUUAGGAAGUGUGACCGCCGCCUCUCAUGGACCCCGGAACAACCUCCUGUUCGCACAGGGGCCCACUCCUAAUCUUCUGGAGUUGGCAUCAUGGGAGAUGACCAAACUCUCCUGCAAAGUCUUGCGCAGUACCGUGAUCAAUAAAACUAGGAGAGUAAAACAGAACGCUCUGAAUUUGGAGCCAGAAAACCUUGAUUCAGGUCCUUCAUGUGGCCUUGGGCAAAUCACUUAACCUUUCUGAGCCUGUACCCUCAACCGUAUCUUCCUGUUUCUUAAGAUCAAUGUGAGGUUUAAUGAUAAAUAACUCUUAAAAGGGCUUUGCAUCAUGCUUGGGCAUUUUGGCUAUUCAAGAACCUCACGCUGCAUGAAGAAAGAUGCAUUCUGUGUGACUCUGGAGGCUUUUCGAGCAGAGAGAAACAGCAGGUUCACAGCCCUCGGCUUGUUCCUCCUCCUGCUCACACUUCACCCUUCACCCUGGCUGACCUGCGUGUGCCAAACACGGUUGUGAGCUCCCACAGAAUGAGGAGAGGCAGCCCGUUCCGCUGCAUCUCCCCAGGGCACCGGCAAGAACAGGCAAAGCCUCGUUGACUGAAUUCACGGAGAGCAGAGACUGCACCCAGGCCUCGACCCCAGGACUUCUGUGUUGUGUGAGACGUGCUAGUGAUGCCGCUUUAAGCUCUGCUUUGAAAAUGGUCCUUUGACAGAUUCUGAAUGCAAGUGGCCUCCUUACGAGAUCCUGCGGAAUAACAAGGACAACUUAUCACAACUUCCUCAUUGUAAAAUCCAGCUCAGACUGCAGUUGAAGAUCACAAAUGCUCUCUGUUUCACUUAUGUUUGUGGUGUCUAAUACAACAACACAAGCCUAGGUUCCUGUGCGUAGACUUCCUUAUUGUUUAUUUACCAUCCACUUCUUCUGAGCAGGACUGAUCGACUUUUCGCUUCUUAGACCCUUGGUGGGUGGCCUAACACUGGGAACGUCCCUGGGAAUCAAUGGCCUCCCAUGCUAUUGCCCUAAGAGGAAAAACUAUGGACCCAUUUCCGGCUCGUGAGUUGGAAGUGGAGGUCUGCUGGCGGCCUUUGUCUCCCUGCCUUCCCCUCCUGUCACUGGCUGGAACAUGUGCUUGAUGCCUGGCGUUCAGCAGCCCUGUUGAAACUGUGAGGUGACUGGCAGGUGUCAGAAGGAAAGCAAACUGCCUAGUGACGGCAGAGGCUGCAUGCACUCCACUGCCCUCUGCUCCACUGUCCACUCACCUCCGCUGGCUCUGUGCCCCAAGGCCCUGGCCUCUAUGGCCGGCAUCCAUGGGCUUCCCUAUCCUCUGGCCUCCAGGUGGGUUCAGUCACAGCAGAAGCUGGGAGGGGCAGCUGGAGGUUGGAGAAACAUGAGGCUAGUGUCCAGCUCCCUCCCUGGCCGAGCCAGCCGUGGACGUGCUCCUUUCCGGGAAGCCAGCACUCCUUUCCGGUGGUCCUGCUCUGACCACGGCAGCUCGAGCUGAGCACAGAGUGACGGCUACAGCUCCCUCCACAUCUGGCCUGGGAUGGGAACAGCUCCUGGAUGCUUCUUCUUCCUGUGCUGGCAUCCCUUAGUCCCUCCCACCUUUUUUUUUUUAUAUAAUAAACCUGCUUUGUUCAAUCCUCCUCAACCACCCACUGAAGCAAGCCCUCCUUUCCUUGCCGGGACCCAGAGAGCUGCUGGGAAAGAAAGGGUGGGCGCCCCGCAGUGUGAUCAGCACCUGGGCAGAUCCCGCCCACCUUCUAUGAUGAAAGCCCUGGAUGGUUUCCUAUCCCCACCCUGAGCUCCUCCCCUAACUCCCCAAAACAUUGGGAAGAUGGGCCUUCUGUCCUGGAAGGGCCAGUCUCCUGGGCGGAGCGCUAUGCAUAGGAAGGAAAGCCGUGUUACUCAAUGGUUCUACUGAACCACUAAGCAGCAGGGGCUCUGGGGGCACCGUGGAGAUAGAGAACCCUUAGGAAGGCGAUGCUGGAUCCUAUGGGUCUCAACAGAGGGCCUUACGGGUAGGCCCUGUAGGAGGGACUGGGAGACGCAGGUCCCAGGAACACGUGUGCUGGGCACACGUGAGUACAUGCAGGGUCAAAGCUGGCAGGCAGGCGGGUUGAGCCUCUCCGUGCUCCCACGGGGUCUGCAUCAGAUUUUGCACUUAGCAGGCGAACUUGCUUCCCAGGGCCACUGUAACAACCAACCACGAAUGGGAGGCUCAACACAACUGAAACGCGCGUCCUCACAGUCCUGGAGGCCCGAACUCCAAAUCCAAGGCGCCAGCAGGGCCACGCUUCCUCCACGGAGCCUCGGGGAGCAGACGGUCUUGAGACGAGACUUGCUCCCGCAACCCUUUCCCAGCUGCAGCUGCCUCUCCGCCAUCUCUGCCUCCGUGGCCACGCGGCAUCUUCUCCCUGGCAUGGGCUGAACCACCGCAUCUCGGGCAGGGAAGAAAAAAAUGCUGGCAACUAAACCAUGAGGUCCCUUCAAGAGUAAAAUGGAACCUAAGAGGAAGACGGAACCUAGCAGAGAUGUCGGGAGGAGAAGCAGCAUGCAUCUUAGAAUUGAUAAACACGAUAC